CCCAAGGCCACUUUAUAACAUGUUCCCCUGGGGGGUAGGCCUACAGCGAGGACAAGGGUAAGAUAUGGUCCUGACCAACAGUUGGCAACAGUCCUUCAGUGGUCAACGGGUGAUCUCGGCUUGUGUUGACAGGUUGCUUCUGGGUUAACGCAGUGGAGGCUGUUGCUCCUGGACUCUUGCUGCUGGGACACGUCUCAUGUUGAGAGCCGGGCUCCUGUCUCAUCAAAUCCCAUGGACAGAGGUGCCUCGGUGGGCUAUAACCCAUGGAGUUGCAAAGAGUUGAACACAACUGAGCAACUAGCAAAAAAAAGAAACACCUUCAAGGGAAAACAGUGUGGAAAUGUUAGAAAUACGAUCACCUGGGAAAUCAGCACUAACUCCAGGAGGCUCCUGUUCAGAUGUGAGCGUGCCUGCCUCCCACACUGAACACUCUACUGGUCAUUCUCACCUGGACAGCAAUUCAUUUCUCAGGUAACUAGCUGCCACAUUGAAAAAGGAGAAAAGUGUCUUGGGGCAGGGUUUUCUGGACAGUGACAGCUGAAGAGAAGAAAUCGAGGUCCGGUGUACUCUGUGGAGCAGUGAGAUCAGGGAGUUACCCAGAAAAUGCAGUGGAGUGGAAUCCGGCCCGAGAGCGGCAACUCUUGAGCCCGCAUUCCUAGAGCGCGUGCUCCACACCAAGAGAAGCCACUGAAGUGAGAAGCCCUCACACCACCGCGAGAGAGCAGGCCCUGCUUGUCACAGCUACAGACAGACUGCACGCAGCUAGACCCAGCACAGCCAACAAUAAACAAACAACAAAUUAAUUUUUUAAAGAGUCCUUACUGAAGCAGUAAAAUAUCUAUAU
ensembl:lncRNA